AGCCAGUAUAGUCUAUUUCCAAAAGAGCUGUAAAGAGGCAUUUCAGAAACUUCCCUAAACAAUAUUUCUUUAAAAUGCACCAAGCUGGAUAAAGCCGCUUUGUGACCUGCAUAAAAACUCCAACGGAUAAAUGUGUAUUACCUUCCCAAAGAACUACUUCUCCAAAGUUAUUCCAGCUCUUUCCAGUUGAAAUGUCAAACUUGACAUAAAAAUGAGAUGUUCUUGCAUCAAUUAAUAAACAAAUAAAUCUGUGUUUCCCAUUGCCCUUUUCAUUCAGUGCGUUUAAUGAUUUGGUUGAAGUUACUGGUUACCUGUCUGUUUCCUCCAUUAUAUUUUAUUCCUCAGGAAUAGAAUCUACAUUCUAUUUGCCUUUAUGUCUCCAAAACCCGACACAGAGUGGGUGUUCAAGUAACUUUACUGAUAUCAGUAAUUUGCAUAGGUAAACAAUUCUGAAUAGAGUGAAUCAAACACAAACUUCAAGUAGAUUCAGCAAUUCUUACAGGAUGGCAUUAUCACUUUAAUGAUAUUUCUCAAUUUGUGUUACAAUUUGAUUAAACAAUUUUUACCCUAAAGCUUUGAGAACAGGUUUUCUGACAAUUGUAUAAUUUGAUUUUAAUGCUUAUGUCAGAGGGCAUAUGUCUUGGGGAAAGGAUAAAAGAAAAUAACAGAUUGCUAGGUGACAGUCAUCAACUGUUUGCCUUCAUGAAUUUCUUGAUUUGUAUGGUAGUCAUUUCCCACGCUUCUCCUCAAAACAAAAUAAAAUCAGAAUAAUAA
ensembl:lncRNA CHRM3-AS2 CHRM3 antisense RNA 2